AUGGAAUACAAAAUUUUAAAUUGGAAUGUCCGGGGCUUAAACAGCCCGACCAAGAGAAGAGCAACUCUAAUGUUUGUGGCUGAGGUUGGAUGCAACAUAAUCUGCCUCCAAGAGGUGAAAUAAGCUGUGAUUACUACUGCUAUUGUUGCUGAAAUCUUGGGCACCCAGUUCAGAGAGAACUUCAUUUACAAGCCUGCUAUGGGCACUUGGGGAGGAAUCCUCAUUGCUUGCUCCUCUGAUUUUGAGAUCACCCAUGAACCACUGGCAGAUGGUGUUGGGGAUCGUUGCAGAAAUUAA
rnacentral:rRNA from 1 species